CAAAGGUUUGGUCCUAGCCUUACUAUCAGCUUUAGCUCAAAUUACACAUGCAAGUUUCCGCAACCCCGUGAGGAUGCCCCCAACUUCCCACCCGGAAAUAGGGAGCCGGCAUCAGGCACAACCAACGUAGCCCAAGACGCCUUGCUCAGCCACACCCCCAAGGGAAUUCAGCAGUGACAAACAUUAAGCCAUAAGCGAAAGCUUGACUUAGUUAGAGUUAAAAGGGUCGGUAAAACUCGUGCCAGCCACCGCGGUUAUACGAGAGACCCUAGUUGAUCUCAACGGCGUAAAGAGUGGUUAUGGAGUUUUUUUACUAAAGUGGAAGACCCCUCAAACUGUUAUACGCACCCGGGGGUUAGAACCCCUUACACGAAAGUAGCUUUAUUAGUGUCCACCAGAACCCACGAAAGCCAGGGUACAAACUGGGAUUAGAUACCCCACUAUGCCUGGCCAUAAACUUAGAUGAUUUUAUACAAUUAACAUCCGCCAGGGGACUACGAGCAUCAGCUUAAAACCCAAAGGACUUGGCGGUGCCUCAGACCCCCCUAGAGGAGCCUGUUCUAGAACCGAUAACCCCCGUUCAACCUCACCACUCCUUGCCCUUUCCGCCUAUAUACCACCGUCGCCAGCUUACCCUGUGAAGGUAAAAGUAAGCAAAAUGAAGAAUUUUCAGAACGUCAGGUCGAGGUGUAGCAUACGGAGUGGGAAGAAAUGGGCUACAUUGCCUAACCUAGGCAACCAACGGAAAAUCGCCUGAAAGAGCUGUUUGAAGGUGGAUUUAGCAGUAAAAGGGGAAUAGAGUGCCCCUUUGAAGCCGGCUCUGAGGCGCGCACACACCGCCCGUCACUCUCCCCAACAAAAUUUUUUCUAGUAAUUAACUCUAUUCUAUAAAAAAGGGGAGGCAAGUCGUAACAUGGUAAGUGUACCGGAAGGUGCACUUGGAAUAAC
rnacentral:ncRNA from 1 species